GUUAGGUGUUUGAAGGCAUUGCAGAAACAGUCUGUGAGGAAAUGAAGGCUCACAUGAUUAACAGGAGAGAGCGUUCAGUGACUGUUUGCCAUUUUAUUCAAAACUGCUAUUUUGUUUACAGCUGUCCGUCUCCUUUGGAGUCCUUGGAAUUCUUUUUUGCUGACACAGAACUUCUGGAUUUUUGCUUACUCCUUUUUUUUAAACUUGUUUUUCUAACAGUUUGUCUUGUCUUGCGUGAGUCUUGAGGAAAUUUAGAUAAGGCUACAUCUUGUACAGAACAUCCUUGCCAGACCUAACGCCCACGAAGAUUUUUUGCAUAAACUACCAGAGUAUAAUCAAUCAUGUAUGCUUCAUUGUUUAGAACUCGUUAGUCAUACUAAUUAUAAUAUUAUAACCAUUAUACUGAUUGUGGGAAUGCCCAAAACAAAAUUUCCUAUCCCGCUGCUGAUCACAGCAACCCCAUCAAUUAAAGCUUAUCUAUCAAAACAACCCAGCAGUCACUAACAAGCUUGUGGUAUUUGUGUAAGAAAGUGAG